rnacentral:rRNA from 1 species
UACGAAGGGGGCUAGCGUUGCUCGGAAUUACUGGGCGUAAAGGGAGCGUAGGCGGGUUAUCAAGUUGGAGGUGAAAGCCCAGGGCUCACCCUUGGAAUUGCCUUCAAAACUGAUAGCCUAGAGUAUGAUAGAGGUAAGUGGAACUCCGAGUGUAGAGGUGAAAUUCGUAGAUAUUCGGAAGAACACCAGUGGCGAAGGCGGCUCGCUGGACUGAUACUGACGCUGAGGUGCGAAAGCGUGGGGAGCAAACAGG